rnacentral:lncRNA from 1 species
AUAUUCUGCAGUGCAUUGGCGGUCAUUGUCUGUGCCUUACCAACUAGGGUAGAAAAAAAAAAUUUCCAUUUGGCUAAGCCUUUUUAUUUUAUUUUCUCAUUGUAAUAUUGUUACUCUUAUAAUUCGUCCCAAACUUUCAUGUAAUUACCUAACCUUGCAAUUUGAUUAAUCGCAUUAUAUAUAUAUAUAUAAUCAAAAAAUGAGUACAAGGGGUACUCUAACAAUACAAUAAAAUUCAAAGCCUCAUAAAGGAGAAUCAUUUUAAAUAGGGACUAAGAGUCUAGAAACAUCAGAAUAAUGGGAUAGAAGUAAGUAAAACACACAAAUAAACCACCGUUCAUCCUUGACUCAAUCAUAUCAUACAUCCUUCGUAAAGUUCCUUUCAAAUCAUUCCUAGCUAUUUUAUGCAUGCUAAACUAAAUCCUGAUAUUGAAACUGAUAAAUCUAAAUGCUAUAAGUCAAUAAGAGUCCAGAAUUCUGGCCAGAAUAGACCACUAUAUUGUCAUCUAGCCAUGUUCAAAAUAAUGAUAAUACCCUUUCUAAAAGAGGGGAUCAAUGAUCAACCUUGUUCAUCCAUACGUGUGGGAACUGUUCAUUUGAUAUAUGUUUCUCUUGUUCAAUUUUUUUGUACACCUCAGAUAGUUUCCAAUCAUAAAUAGUUAUUCGUGUAUUUGUUUCUAUGCAUUGUUAUUGUUGUACCUCUUAAAGUGUUGUAUAACAUUUCUCACACCCUAUUUCUAUGUAUUUCUUUUCUAUUCGUUAUAUGCAGGUUAUCCUCACGACAAGACUGAGGAGUAGAAUCAAGGCGUUUGUGUACGAGAAUAAAGCGGAUAGUUAUUCUCUCACCUAUAUUAUGUUGUUCUUUAAAGUUUGUUGGAUUAUUGUGUAUGUUUCAAUUAAGUUCUAGGCUCUGAUGUCGUGACAUCAGGACCGAGUUUAAUAAUAUGUACUUGACUUAUUUUGUUGAAUAAAAUAUUACAUAUUUUAUUUUAUUUUGAGGAUAAUUGUAAGGCCAUAAGAUGGAAAAAUAUUUUAUUUUGAGUUAUAACAUUGAGUUGGUGCUUGUCAUGACGAUGUUAUAUCUUUUUUUCUGACGAAAAAUGACGAUUUGGUAUCUUAGAGACUACAUAAAAUUUAUAAUGGCUAAGUUAAUAUAAGACAUUAACAAUUGAGUUUAAAACUUCAAAAUAUGGAUCUUAUAUAAAUCUAGAAAUCUAUUUGUCUAACAUUAACAAUGUAUUUUAUAAUUCGGAGCGUGUUUUUGAGUUUCAGUUUCUAGAAUCCGUAACUCUUGAUAUGAUUAAAAUACCCUAUGAAGGCUAUGUUGCUUUUUCAAAAUUCUCAGCCUCGCGUUAAACCAAAGAAAAAACAUGCUAUGAAAAAGGUAUGGUUCAUCAAAGAAAUGAAAAGCAUAGACAAAUUAUUAAAUUUAUUAGCUAAAAAUUAAUAUAAUAUAUCAAAUAACUUCUAUUUUUUAUUUUUUGGUCAAGAAUAAUUACUAAUAUUAACUAAUGACUAAAGACAUAGGAUAGCUUGUCGGUUCCGCUAAAAAUUAAUAUCUUUGCAUGGAAGUUGUCUCUUAAUCGUGUUCCGACUAAGCAUAACUUGGUAAGGAGGCAUAUUAUUCCUCUAACCGAUCACGAAAUUUCGGCAGAUUGUGGAUUGUUAGAAAACAUGUACAAUUUAUAUGUUAAAUGUUACUUUUAUGGUCGACAUUGGUCUCUAGUUUCAUGUUGGUUAGGUCUCUCAACGACAACUCAUGGUAACUUAUUGGUUCAAUAUUAUAUCACUAUCAGAGGUUUGGGUCAUUUGGAAGGGAGAAAUAGGAGUAUUAUUGAACACAAGGAUGAAAGAUUUUUAAGUGAAAAGGUUAAGCUUCAGUCCUUUUGGGUGUUAAAAUCGACAUAUGUUGCGUACGAUUUUGAUUAUCAUUUAUGGAGGCUUAAUCUUAUUACUUGCUUAAUUGUUGUUUCCUACCUCUUUUUUUUCUUUCCAGUUGUUUGUAGUUUCUUGUAAUGUAAAUUUGUACUUUUGAUAAGUCAAUCUAGUACAUCUUGUGUCAGAGGGAGUUAAUGUGUGUGUGUGUUUUUCUUUUUGGUAUAAUAAAAAAAAAAACUAAUGACCAAAGACAACUAAGAUAAAUAAGGAAAUAAAACAGUAAGAAUAUAGAGUAUCAUCUCAUUAAGAGUAUAUUACUCCAAAAAAAAUCUCAUUAAGAGUAUUAUUCCUGUAAUAAAAAAUUGCCACCAUUCUCAACUAUCAAUUCUCUUUUAUGAUUUCUCUUGCCUUUCUUCUUCUCCAUGCUAUAGGUACAAAGUAUCCAUUGGCUAUCAAUGACUAAUCUAAACCAGAGAAAUUAGUUUGCCACCUUUAAAUAUAAGGUUUCCCCUAAUCAAACUUUUUAUUUAAGCACAAAUAAAAAACCAACAUAGUUUUAUUGAUACCAACGUAAACCCCCACCCAUACAGUUGAAACAGUGAUAUGAUUGAUGUUCAAUUAAUAAAAUCAAGAUAAAACAAAGUUAGGUACUAAUAUUUAUUUGACUUUAUCUUACAAUAUGUAAUUCUAAAUAUGAUUAAAAUACCUCACAAAGGUUAUGUUUCUUUCUCAACAAUCCCAACCUCAUCUUAAACUAAUGAAAAAACAAGCUACGAAAAAUGAAUGGUUCAUCAAGAAAAUGAAAGCAUAAACAUCUUAUUAAAUUUCUAAACUAAAAAUCAAUAAAAUAUAUAAAAUGAUGUCCUCUCUCCCACUCUCUCUAUUAUUAACAGCUAUAUAUGAAAUAAAAUUAUUGAAAUAUUGGUAACCAUGUUUGGACUAUACAAGCAAAAUUUUUAAUUAAGAUCUAUUCGAUGGGCUAAAUGGACUAAUGUGAUACGUAAAUAUACUUUAGUAUCAUCUAAUAAUUAUUCAUUUUUUGGUGGUGACCGGAGUUCGAACCACGGCCCUUGCAUAUAUAUAUGUUCUGCAAUGCUAGAUAAGAAGUAUAAAAGUUAUUAAAUAUUCAUAAAUAGGUUUUAGCAAUAAUUACAAGCAACAUUUUUAUGUAAGAGACAUACAUGAUACAUAAAUUUACUUUGGUGACAUCUAAUAAUUAUCCUAAUAUAUUGAGGAAUUUAGUGCAACAGAAGAAUUGUUAAAAACUAUUUAUUUGAUGUAAACAUUGAAUAUCGUUUUUACUAUAUAAAGUGAUCAAGCAAUUCACCAUUUGUUAUAUACAAAGUUAAAACAUAAAUAAAAAUAUGGCUGGAAUUCUCAAGUUUUUUUAUAUUGCAAUCAUUUAUGUUUCUAUGUAUCUUGUUGUAAUCGAGGGUAAAGGUAAGCUCAUUUUCAAAAAAGUUAUCUUAGACACAAUAUUUCACUCAUAUAUAAUAAUAUUUUCUUAUCCUUAUUUUACAUUGCAGAUGGCUGUAAAACUAACUUCGAUUGCUUGAUAAAAUAUCCUGAUCAUAAUGAAGAUAUUCUGCAGUGCAUUGGCGGUCAUUGUCUGUGCCUUACCAACUAGGGUAGAAAAAAAAAAUUUCCAUUUGGCUAAGCCUUUUUAUUUUAUUUUCUCAUUGUAAUAUUGUUACUCUUAUAAUUCGUCCCAAACUUUCAUGUAAUUACCUAACCUUGCAAUUUGAUUAAUCGCAUUAUAUAUAUAUAUAUAAUCAAAAAAUGAGUACAAGGGGUACUCUAACAAUACAAUAAAAUUCAAAGCCUCAUAAAGGAGAAUCAUUUUAAAUAGGGACUAAGAGUCUAGAAACAUCAGAAUAAUGGGAUAGAAGUAAGUAAAACACACAAAUAAACCACCGUUCAUCCUUGACUCAAUCAUAUCAUACAUCCUUCGUAAAGUUCCUUUCAAAUCAUUCCUAGCUAUUUUAUGCAUGCUAAACUAAAUCCUGAUAUUGAAACUGAUAAAUCUAAAUGCUAUAAGUCAAUAAGAGUCCAGAAUUCUGGCCAGAAUAGACCACUAUAUUGUCAUCUAGCCAUGUUCAAAAUAAUGAUAAUACCCUUUCUAAAAGAGGGGAUCAAUGAUCAACCUUGUUCAUCCAUACGUGUGGGAACUGUUCAUUUGAUAUAUGUUUCUCUUGUUCAAUUUUUUUGUACACCUCAGAUAGUUUCCAAUCAUAAAUAGUUAUUCGUGUAUUUGUUUCUAUGCAUUGUUAUUGUUGUACCUCUUAAAGUGUUGUAUAACAUUUCUCACACCCUAUUUCUAUGUAUUUCUUUUCUAUUCGUUAUAUGCAGGUUAUCCUCACGACAAGACUGAGGAGUAGAAUCAAGGCGUUUGUGUACGAGAAUAAAGCGGAUAGUUAUUCUCUCACCUAUAUUAUGUUGUUCUUUAAAGUUUGUUGGAUUAUUGUGUAUGUUUAAAUUGAGUUCUAGGCUCUGAUGUUGUGACAUUAGGACCGAGUUUAAUAAUAUGUACUUGACUUAUUUUGUUGGAUAAAAUAUUACAUAUUUUAUUUUAUUA